GCCAGACACACACGUUCCCCAGGGAAAAGGUCAAGAGAAGCAUUCCCACCUCCCUGACGUCUGGCAAAGAGCUAGAAGGACCAGGGUCUGACCACAUGCAAAUGGGAAUGUGACCCAUUACCAGGUUCUUCUGUCCUGGCUCAGAAGGGGAUGUCAGUUAGAGGGGAGGAGGGUGUCCCAGGCCCCCGUGGGGCCCUUGCUGGCCUCUUCCAGCUGAGGGAGGGGCCUGCCCUGGGCACAGGGAGCUCCUCACCUUGGCAAAGCUGGAGCAACUGAAUAAAGGGUGUGGCCAAGCCUCCUCCUCCUCCUCUUCCCCCUCCUCCUCAGUCUUCCCCAUUCCUGCCAUCCUCCAGCCCUGCCAAGGUGUGGCCUUGCUCAGGGACUGUCCCCAAGCAAGCAGCCUGACCUAUUUACCAAUCCCGGGGACCUGCCAUGGGUUGGGGUCCUCCCACGGCCCAGGCCCCAGGGGCUGCGGCAGCAGCAGGAAUCUCGGUCAGUAGGUGGAGAGUCCAGAAGACAGAGCUCCCUGGCCAGCAGCUCCAGGGUGAAGGGGCCUACGUGAUGCCCUCUGUUCAUCGAGCACCGUGCUAAGCGUUAUACACGUGUGAUGUCGCCACAUCUUUACGACACGAGGUCUCCAUCAAACCCCCUAGAGCCAGCAGAAAGCACUCAGAGAUCACCACAGGGAGGACAAAGGUCAUGCUUUGGUGUGUCCUUCGGGCUGGGCUGUGAAUGGGGCAUGUGAGGCCUACGGUGAGGUGCCUGGUGAGCAGGAGAAACCCCUGAACCGACUUGGGACAAGAAGGCCACCAGAAGAGGGCCACUCUGAGUCAUGCGGUUCUGUGGGAACGGGCCGGCUUCCAUUUCUUCUCUCCAGACGAGGGGCAGCCUAAGGAGCUUUACCGUGGGGAGUGGUCCCUGCCGGCUCCCCCACGCUGAGACCCCUACUUGCAACGCACGUCUGCCUCAGAGAUGUGGGACUGAGAAACAGGGACGCAGGAACCCGAUUUCCACCUGGGUGAAAGGGUGUGGCCGGGGCACCCAUCACCUCCCCAACGGAGAGAAGACACAGGAGGGGACGGAGGGCAAGAUCUACACCGGAGACAAUGAAGGGGUGCAAGGUCAGGCUGGGAUGAGGAGAGGACGCAGCCCUAAUGAGCAGAUUCCAUAAACCACCCGAGUGAAAACAAAAACACAGACGUGAAUGUUGCCCAGCUUCAGCCUGUAUGGAAAAGGGGGGGAAAAACAAUAAAA